GUUUUGAAUUUGCAGUAACAGGUGUGAACAUUCUAGCAGCAGUUUGAUGAUCAUGUAUGAUACUGCAAACAAAAC
ensembl:miRNA MIR6516 microRNA mir-6516